AGUGAACGCUGGCGGUAGGCCUAACACAUGCAAGUCGAACGGCAGCACAGUAAGAGCUUGCUCUUACGGGUGGCGAGUGGCGGACGGGUGAGGAAUACAUCGGAAUCUACUUUUUCGUGGGGGAUAACGUAGGGAAACUUACGCUAAUACCGCAUACGACCUACGGGUGAAAUCAGGGGAUCUUCGGACCUUGCGCGAUUGAAUGAGCCGAUGUCGGAUUAGCUAGUUGGCGGGGUAAAGGCCCACCAAGGCGACGAUCCGUAGCUGGCCUGAGAGGAUGAUCGGCCACACUGGACCUGGGAACCGGUCAAGACUCCUACGGGAGGCAGCAGUGGGGAAUAUUGGCCAAUGGGCGAAAGCCUGCUCCAGCCAUCCCGCGUGGGUGAAGAAGGCCUUCGGGUUGUAAAGCCCUUUUGUUGGGAAAGAAAAGCAGCAGGUUAAUACCCCGCUGUUCUGACGGUACCCAAAGAAUAAGCACCGGCUACCUUCGU
rnacentral:rRNA from 1 species